UGGGGAAUAUUGCGCAAUGGGCGAAAGCCUGACGCAGCGACGCCGCGUGAGGGAUGAAGGUCUUCGGAUCGUAAACCUCUGUCAGCAGGGAAGAAAUUUUUAGUGUGCUAAUCAGCAUUAAAUUGACGGUACCUGCAAAGGAAGCACCGGCUAACUCCGUGCCAGCAGCCGCGGUAAUACGGAGGGUGCGAGCGUUAAUCGGAAUUACUGGGCGUAAAGCGCUCGUAGGUGGCAUGUCAAGUCAAGGGUGAAAUCCCCGCGCUCAACGUGGGAACUGCCUUUGAAACUGGCAGACUGGAGUGUGUGAGAGGAUAGUGGAAUUUCCAGGUGUAGGAGUGAAAUCCGUAGAUAUCUGGAGGAACAUCAGUGGCGAAGGCGACUAUCUGGCACAUAACUGACACUGAGGAGCGAAAGCGUGGGGUAGCAAACAGGAUUAGAUACC
rnacentral:rRNA from 1 species